rnacentral:rRNA from 1 species
CCCCGCAAGGUCUCUAUACAGGUGGUGCAUGGUUGUCGUCAGCUCGUGUCGUGAGAUGUUGGGUUAAGUCCCGCAACGAGCGCAACCCUCGUUCUAUGUUGCCAGCACGUAAUGGUGGGAACUCAUGGGAUACUGCCGGGGUCAACUCGGAGGAAGGUGGGGAUGACGUCAAAUCAUCAUGCCCCUUAUGUCUUGGGCUUCACGCAU